rnacentral:rRNA from 1 species
UACGGAGGAUUCGAGCGUUAUCCGGAUUUAUUGGGUUUAAAGGGAGCGUAGGCGGGUUGUUAAGUCAGUUGUGAAAGUUUGCGGCUCAACCGUAAAAUUGCAGUUGAUACUGGCAUCCUUGAGUACAGUAGAGGUAGGCGGAAUUCGUGGUGUAGCGGUGAAAUGCUUAGAUAUCACGAAGAACUCCGAUUGCGAAGGCAGCCCGCUGGACUGUAACUGACGCUGAUGCUCGAAAGUGUGGGUAUCAAACAGG